CGAAGAGCUUCAGGCCUUUCUCCACACGCUCCUGCCGGUAGCCCGGGACCUGCAGAGAGACCUAGGAGUCGUGAUGCCAUUGGCAGCCCUAGGGGUGCUGUUGAUACACCAGUGGCCUCGGAGUCAGGACAUCUGGGUUCCACGUGGAUUCUGAUACCACCUUGCUGGGUAACUCUGGGGACUCUCUCUAAGACCCUGCUCUAUGCAGGGGAAGAGGAAGAAGAUGGUCUUAUCUUUCUGCCUCCAUUGUCUGUUCAUUGGGAGAUCUCUGCAAGGGUGUACCAUUCACUCAGCAAACACGAGUCAAUGACUCAGGUUGGUACAUGACCAGUGCCUGGGAAGCACCUUUCUUGAAGGCCUGGACUUAACCCAGAGAGCCCCACUUGAGGGGGCUGGGUGACCUCCCCUCCAGGACAGCCUGAAGCAAGAGGACACCUCCUUCUUCACACUUCCAGAGGAAUUUGUAUACUCUCCAGGGCCCUAAGAGAAUCCUGGUAAUUUGAAGCAAACGAAGGUGAUGCUACUUGAUGGUGAAUUAUGACCUGCAUGUGGGCACUGCUGUGUGUGGCGGCAGCUCAGGCCUCCAGAUGAACAGAGUGGCAAGAACCCCCAGGAAAAUCAGCCCUACAGCCUUACCUUCCUGCUAGAGGAAGAAAGCUGGAGAUUGCUGAAAUGCGUCAUGUUAAGACACCCCCAGACCUCCCCUCGAGUAGAGUGCAAAACCCACUCAACCAGGAUUCCAGCCAGUGUGGAAAGAAUGACAAUACAGAAGAGAGAAGCUCAAAAGUGAACAUGAAGAAAGAACUUGGGGUGUGGGGUAGCUACAGGAAAAGUUCUUUGUGGGACAGAAUCCCCUCUUGGAAAGCCUUGGUGGCCUGAGCUCACAUCUGCAUCCCUACUGCCCGCUCCAUCCAGGAUGGGGUUCUGCCAGCCUCACCAUCACUUUGUGCCUGCCGAUGAGGUUGGGGGACUCGCAGAGCAGCUGGACAUCUGACACGGUCACGGUGCACGGCUUCUCCCCAACCAGCACAGUGUAGUUCAGCUUCACGUUGCCCCCAGCCACAGGCGGGAUCAGGUUCUUGCCCUGUACAAAUGGGAAAGCACCAGUUCCCACCCCAGAGUGAGGACCACAGCUACCAGCUGGCUCUCAUGUCCUCCCACCUGGAGGUCCCAUCCCGCUGGUGAGCUGGUGAAGAAGCCACCUUUGGUAAUAAGUGCAAAAAAUAUUCAUGGCAUGACUACCACCAUUGCCUCUUCCUCCCAGUGGCUAAUCAGUUAUCAAAGUACUCCUUUCAGCUUAUCCCAAAUGCAGCCUCAGAAUCCUUCUCAAUGCAGAGUUGGAGUCAGUCACUACCAAUUGAUUCAAAUUGUCAUAAGCUUUAAUUAACCUGUAACCCAUGUUCCAAAGGAAGCCCUAUGCUGUGGUUCGCACAAGGCUGCCUCAGAGGAAGCAGUGAGCCUGACCUGCCAGUACUUGGACUUUCAGGACAAUAAAAGCUUGAGAGUCAAAUAGCCAAGGUGGAUCUGCCUUCCCUGGGUAGAACCGGCCCCUAAAGAGAGUUUUCUUCCCAGUACAGACUCAGAGAGAACAUUUAUCACACUCUGGGCUACACUGCAACCUCUGCAAGAGAUGCUGGUUGAGAAAUGUGGCAGGAGUCUGUGACUUGAACACCCCCUUCCAUGCAGCAGCCCCUUCUUUUCCCACCCCCGCCUCCCACCACCCUCACUCCACCUUUAGGAUGAUGGGCGUGCCAGGCUUGAGCUCCAGGAUUCCUGAGGGACCAAAGGCCUCAAACACCGGGUUGGGAUAGUAGGUGAAGUUGG
rnacentral:lncRNA from 10 species